ACUUUGAGUAAAUUAGAGUGUUCAAAGCAGCCUGUAUGGGCAUUGAAUAGAUUAGCAUGGGAUAAUAGAAUAGGAUUCUUAUCUAUUUAUUGGUUUAUAGAUUUAGAAUAAUGAUUAAUAGGGAUAGUUGGGGGCACUUGUAUUCAAUAGUCAGAGGUGAAAUUCUAGGAUUUAUUGAAGACAAACUUCAGCGAAAGCAUUUGCCAAGGAUGUUUUCAUUAAUCAAGAACGAAAGUUAGGGGAUCGAAGACGAUUAGACACCGUCGUAGUCUUAACUAUAAACUAUGCCGACCAGGGAUAUGAGAGUUUUAUAUUUAUGUUAUGAAUAAUAACAUAAUCUCUUGUGGACCUUGUGAGAAAUCAUAAGUUUUUGGGUUCUGGGGGGGAGUAUGGUCGCAAGGCUGAAACUUAAAGGAAUUGACGGAGGAG
rnacentral:rRNA from 1 species